rnacentral:rRNA from 1 species
GACGAACGCUGGCGGCGUGCCUAAUACAUGCAAGUCGAACGAACCGCGACUAGGUGCUUGCACUUGGUCAAGGUGAGUGGCGAACGGGUGAGUAACACGUGGGUAACCUACCUCAUAGUGGGGGAUAACAGUCGGAAACGACUGCUAAUACCGCAUAGGACAUAGGAUCACAUGAUCCAGUGAGGAAAGGUGGCGCAAGCUAUCGCUACGAGAUGGACCCGCGGUGCAUUAGCUAGUUGGUAGGGUAAAGGCCUACCAAGGCGAUGAUGCAUAGCCGACCUGAGAGGGUGAUCGGCCACAUUGGGACUGAGACACGGCCCAAACUCCUACGGGAGGCAGCAGUAGGGAAUCUUCCGCAAUGGACGCAAGUCUGACGGAGCAACGCCGCGUGAGUGAAGAAGGUCUUCGGAUCGUAAAGCUCUGUUGUUAGAGAAGAACAGCGCAUAGAGUAACUGUUAUGCGUGUGACGGUAGCUAACCAGAAAGCCACGGCUAACUACGUG